rnacentral:lncRNA from 1 species
GAAACACUUUACUUCUUUACUGGUCCAAAUGAUACAUUCAGGAUCAGUAGGACAAUUUCUUUUCCUCAAGGUCAAAUGAAUUUUCUCUUCUUACAAUUAAAAAAUGUCUUAAAACAAUUAUGCAUUUGAGCUGGCUACAUAUUUAGAUUUCUUUUUCUUGUCGAGUUUUAUUUUAAAAUUUCUAAAUGUACUCCUCUCUGUUUUCUUCUUAAAGCCCUGGCUUCAACAAAUCCUUUCCAUCAUAUCAUCUGUUAAGAUUAUUUCAUCUUUUCCAUCAGUAUCACCUUUUUAGGCCAGGCGGGGUGGCUCACGCCUGUAAUCUCAACCCUUUGGGAGGCCAUGGCAGGCAGAUCACUUGAGGCCAGGAAUUUGAGACCAGCCCGGCCAACAUGGUGAAACCCUGUUUCUACUAAAAGUACAAAAAAUUAGCCAGGCGUGGUGGUGUACACCUGUAAUCCCAGCUCCUCAGGAGGCUGAGGCAUGAGAACUGCUUGAACUCAGGAGGCAGACUGCAGUGAGCCAAGAUUGUGCCACUGCAUUCCAGCCUGGGCGACACAGCAAGACUUUCUCUAAAACAAAAAACAAAAAACAAAAACAAAAAAACACUAGAUAAAAUUUGGAUUGCAGAGGGAAGAAAAAGGCAGAGAGACAGAGACAGGACUAGCUGGAUUUCCUAGGCCGACUAAGAAUUCCUAAGCCUAGCUGGGGAAGGUGACCACACCCACCUUUAAACAAGCGGCUUGUAACUCAGCUCACACCUGACCAAUCAGGUAGUAAAGAGGGCUCACUAAAUUACAAAUUAGGCUAAAAGCAGGAGG